GUGUGGACUAGGUUGGGCAGUUAGGCCCUGCUCUUCAACCCACCAUUUCGGUCUUGAGUGGGAACCAAAUCCGGGUGCGUUCGGUCAGACCGGUGCAGGCCCCGGAAGCCAACUAAGAAACCUCGUCCUUCGGGGACGGCGGUCCGUUGACGCUGACCGCAGGGUCAGUCCGAGACGGUUCGUCGCCGGUAUCCCGUCAGGCGCGGAAGCGAGCAGCGAACUGGUGAACGUUCGUCGCUCGAAGGGCCGCGGGGUGGAGGAGGCAACUGGGACUCCCUGUAUCGGAACGCCGAGCAACCCUGUUGUCCGCUA
rfam:Haloquadratum walsbyi DSM 16790 complete genome